rnacentral:lncRNA from 1 species
UUUUUUUUUUUUGUUUCAGCAUUUAUAUAUAAUUUGAAAAACACUAAGGUGGUUGGGAUGGUGUGGGUAGUGGGAGUUUGGGCGUGACGAACAGUGGUAAAGCCAAAAUUUUCAUCAAGGGGUUCAAAAUCUGAAGAGUAAACACACAAACUAGCUGAAGGGGGUUCAACAUUUAUUAUAUAUACAUAAAAAAAUAUUUUAUCCAUGUAUAAAUAGUAUAAUUUUCUGUCGAACCCUGAACUCAAGGUGGGUCCACCCCUGGUGACGAAGGUUGGAAUGAUCAAGAGAUAGGGAUUAGAUGCCGUUGGGAUGAAGAGGAGACAAUAAACUUGAAAGACUAUUUAUGAAAUCUAUUUUCUCUACUCAUACUAAAAAGCCAUUUUUCUUAUUAUUUUUAAAAAAAAUUAUUUUUUCAGGAAAAAAUAUUUCGACCAUCCCAAUUAUCUCUUGAAAAUGUAAUUAUGGUUUUCUAAGAGAUAAAUUGGGUGGGGAACAGAAAAUUUGGCAAAUAAAGCAGCUAAGAAAAAUAUAUACUAUAAGGUAGUAUUACUAAUUUCACUUUCCUAAAAUGUGUAACACUGUUCACAUUUAUUGGAGCAAAGUUGAAAAAGUGACAAUCUCCACAUAUUCAGGGAAUUGUUUAAUUGCCUAAGAUUUUUACAUCAACGACAACGAACAGUUGAUAUAUGUAUUUUAUGUACGUUUUAUCACUUAACAUGCAUGUUGUUACAUCAUUAUAUUACUUAAUCGUGAUUAAAUGACGUACGUGUACAUACGUAUUUGGUAUAAAUAACAAAUGUAUAAUCUAUUCAAUCUCAGAAGGAUUUUUUAAUAAACAUUUGAUUUAUUUUUAGGUUCGACUAAUUCAAAUUUUCACCACAAAAUCUCAUUUUGUGAGGUAAAACAUUCUCUACUAAAGACAAUUUUAUACUCGUAACUCAAACCUAAAAUCUCUCACCAGAAAAUCUCAUUUGACUAAUUUGAAUUCUCACUAGAAAGUCUCAUUUUGUGAGGUAAAAUACUCUGUACCAAAGAUAACUUUAUACUCGUACCUCUAAUUAAAAAUAAAUAAAUAUUUAUCACUUCACCGUAACUUAAAAAAACACAAAAUCAUCUCUAUUUACUCUUUAAAAAGAAUCUUUCAGUAUCCCUCUUUGUAACCUCUGACCCGUCUAUUGGCAGACCAAUUUUAGUGUCAUACAAUGACAAUACAUUCUCUUGAAGUAAGUGUAAGGGGUUGGUGGGGUGGGGGAUGUAAAAAGAAAAAAUACAAGAAAAGGGGGAAUUAACGAUGACUCAUUGCAAUAAUAAAUAAAUAUUGGGAUAUUUUUAAAAAUUAUACAUUACAUCACAAAAUAUUAUAUCAAUGUAGUCAUAUUUUUAGUUUAUACAUGCAUAACUAACUUGCUUUUGCAAUAGAGUAGUAUUUAUACACAUGAUAUACAAAAUUAUACACAACUUUAUACAUUUAGUCAUGAAGACAAUGCAUUAAUCUUGUAUAAAUAUGUAUAAUAAUAAUGUAUAAGAAAUGGUUAUACUAUAUGUUUACAUAAUGAUACAAAAUUAUUGAAUUUUGCCUACUAUAAACUUCAACCCACAAAAAUGAAAAAAAAUCCACCAAAUUAUUACUCAAAUAAAAAUUCGAAAUAUGUCCUUCGGAUGGUUCAGUUGGUUUGGACUUUGGAGGGUGGUUAUCCACACAGAUGAUUCAGGAUUGAUCCCCACUCAAUGCCUUUUGAGUUGAGCUUGUUGUGCGAUUUAUAUCCUCUGUGUUGUUUGCAGGCUAUUACACAGUGAGAGGUUUAUUCGAUGCGCACAAAGUGCUCACCCGAAGGACAGAAGCUGUGACAGAGAUUGUAACAACUACGGAUUAUCCUGGUGUUCUAAAAAAAAAUCAAAAUACUUAAUAAUAUCGGAUCAUAUUUUUUUUAAAAACGUGUUAUGUUGUUAUACUAAUCUAUUAAAUGAAAAAAAGGUAUAUAUAUAUAUAUAUAUAUAUAUAUAUAUAUAUAUAUAUAUGGUGAUAUAUGGUGUUCUUUGUCUAUUGGAAAAUCAACUUUUAUGUAUCCAAAAAGAGCUAAAAGUUGUUGGACACGUCAUUGAAGGUGCCACACAAUUUUUAAUGCCCAAAGAAGUCUUAAUUUGGGGUGAAAAACUUCAAAGGAAAAAUUAGUUAGAUAGUACCUUUUAAUAAAUAAUUACUGAUUUUAGCGAUAUUUUUUAUUUAUUAUCAUUUAUAGCAAUACAUAGCAAUAUUAUGUUAAAUCUGCAAUAUGUAUUAAAAGUAAAUUAGGUAUGCAAUAUAUAUGUAUUAUAACUGGUUUUUUUAAAUAUAUUAUGCUUGUUUGGUAAGAAAUUGACACAAUUGUAUUAUAAAUGUAUUAAAAUGUGUGAUAAAUGUAUUAUCUAUCAAUAAAACUUGUAUUAUAUGUGAAUAAUAAACUGUUCUUUGUAAUAUAUAUUAAAACUGUAUUAUAAAUACAGAAAAGGGUCAAAAUUGCCUCUGAACUAUGCGAAAUAGUACACUUAUACCCUCCAUUACAUUGUAUUAUAUGUGAAUAAUAAACUGUUCUUUGUAAUAUAUAUUAAAACUGUAUUAUAAAUACAGAAAAGGGUCAAAAUUGCCUCUGAACUAUGCGAAAUAGUACACUUAUACCCUCCAUUACAUUUUUGGGAUAAAAAAUACCCCCGCCGUUAUCCCAGGAGACCACAAAUACCCUCAAGAGUUAACACCCCAAUUUUUUAGUGACGUGGCAAGCCACGUGGGACUAAUCCCUCCACCUAAGCUUUGCCAACUAAGAUUCACUACAAAAGACUUGACCUUUAGUGGCGACAAAGUCGCCACAAAUUUCCAAAAUAAUUGCCGCUAAAGGUUGAGUGACUUUUAGUGGCGACUAAGGCUCCAACAACCAUUCGCUAGUAAAACCUAUUUUUUCAACAAAAAAAUAUGAUAAUUAAUUUUCGAUUGCAACCUAAUUUUCUAAAAUAAAUAACUUGCAAUAUUAAUAUUAAAAACAUACAAUAUUAUUACGAAAAACCAUCAAAAUUACUUCUCGAUUCAAAUCUCCUACUAUAUAAUGCAUCAUUGUACAUUUUAUACAUUUACAUAUGACAUAAAAAUAAAACAUACAGUGUCUUCAAACUCCUACUUAAUCAAUAUCAUUUUUGUUUUUAAAAACUAAUGAAAAAAAAACACAAAAUUAGAAUUAAUGUUAAAAACUUUUAGUGACGAUUUUCUGGGCUUUUGUGGCGAAUGUUGUUGCCACUAAAGGUCUAGUUCUUUGUAGUGAAUCCUAGUUGGCAACGCUAGGUGGAAGGAUUAGUCCCACGUGGCUUGCCACGUCAAUAAAAAUUUGGGGUGUUAACUCUUGAGGGUAUUUGUGGUCUCUUAGGAUAACAGUAGGGGCAUUUUUUAUCCCAAAAUAUAACAAAGGGUAUAAGUGAUCUAUUUCACAUAGUUCAGGGGCAAUUUUGAUCCUUUUUCGAAUAUAUUACAAGUGAUUUAGUGAAAAAAAAUGUUAUUGCUAUAAUGGUAAAUAUUUUUUCAAUGCAGUAUACUUAUAUAAGUUUCCCAAAUUUUAAUGGGUUGAGUUAUAUACAAAACUGUGUGUUUAUGAAAUUUUAUGUCAUUGAUAUAAUUAGAUCGAAAAGCUUCUAAGAAAGUCAGCCGAAUAAAAUAGGGUCUUGCUUAAUUGUGAAAGAAGGAAUUUUGGUUAAAACGUAGAUAUUGUACCACAAGAAUUGUUACUGACAUUUUACACCUAUAACUUUAAAGAUGAGCCACUAAUAAUCCAACGCCUAAUAAAAGUAGAGAAAAUUUUAGAAAUAGCAAACAUAAUACACAUAAUAAGGCUCUAUAGCUAUAGUUUCAAUAAUUGUGCUCUAUAAUAAUAGUUUCAUUUGCUAUGGAGGCUGCGGUUUGUAUAUUUCUGUCCGUUUGUUUAUUUCGCUUGUGAAUAUACCACUAGGGUAAGUAUAUACAAAUUAUGUAUUUAGACAUUUAGGAAUUUUUUAGAACUCCAUUUGUAUAUUUCAUUUGACAAUAUACAAAGAUGGUAAUUUAUUAUGAUUUUUUCAUAAAUCGUAUACAAAUAACUAGGAUAAGCAUAUACAAAAUUCUGAAUUUGUACAAUCAGAAACCAAAUUAUACAAAUCAGGCAAAUAAGAAUAAUCGGAGAAAUCGUAGCCACAAAUUACAAUGUUCUUAAACUAUAGCUAUAGUACCUAAUAUAUAUAGGCUAAAUGUUUGCUAUUCUGCAUAAUUUUUCCAUAAAAGUACUAUCAGAAACGAAAAUAUACUAGAUAGGUGUGUACAUGACCAGGUGGAUUUGAUUCUUUUUUUAAAUAUCGUGUCAAAUCAUUUGUGUAAAAUUUUUAAAUUUAUAAAAUCAAACCAAACUAAUACAACUCAAUUUUUUUAACCUCAGAUUUUUUCAGAUUUGUGUCAUUAAAAAGUCAUAACGAAAAUGAUCAUAAUUUAAAAGUGGUAAAUCAUUAUAACAAGUCUAACAAGUAUUAAUUACAUGAUUAAACAUUAAAGAAGAAUUAAAUUAGCUUAUGUAUUUUAAAUGUCUAAACCAAUGUAAAACUAAAGAACAAAUAUUUAACAUUAUUGUCAUUUUUAGUGUUGAAUUUUUUAUUUUUUUAGCAUUAGUAUUGAUUUGAUUUUGAUUUGGGCUUUAUUAGAGUUACUAAUAUGAAAAGUUACCUAAAUACACAACUUAUUUUACCAUAUUUUUUGAAUUCCCUAUCAUUUGGAAAAUUUAUAAAAAUUUCUACUCUCUCCUAUUCUCAAAUACAUCAAUUUACGCGAUGUAUCGAUCGGAUACUGUCACUCCCUGAGCCUACACCCUAGACGUGGUCGGCACUCGAGAACUAUUGUUGGCUCCAAGCGAACCUUUGGCCUGACUCAACUCUCAGCGGAAGACUUACUCAUCAAUUAAUUAACUCAAAACAUAAUUUUACUCAUAGUCUUUAAAAGAAAUAACUUAUAAUUUAUCAGAACAAUCACUGGCCAAUGAACAACUCAAGUCUUAAACAUUAACAAUAGAAAUGAAAGGAUUCCUCAACUACUACUGUUUAUGAAGCCUCUACUAACUGAGAUGAACGUCGGGACAAGAUCCAUGACAUUCUAAUAAACAAAGCUGAAAAUGUAAACUCAAUGUGAAACCCUCUGGAAAGCAAGGAGGCUCACCAACUCUAGCUGAAACACGAUUGGAUCAACGGAGCGCCGGUUGAUGAUCCUGAUUACCUGUAUCUGCGUCAUAAAAUGAUGCAAACCAAAUGUCGUCAUUGAAUGUACGAGCAUGUAAGGGGAACUCUAAAGCAUAGACAUAUAAUCUUGAACUGGAAGGAAAGGAACAUACUUACCUCACCUCAACUCAACUCAACCUCAACUCAAGGAAUACUCAAAGAUACUCAAAAUUUACUCAAACUCAGGGAUGUUCAACUCAGUUCAAUAUAAAACGGUAAUAAAAAUGCAUUAUAAAGAAAGCUUUUAAAACCGUAGAUAAUAACUCAAAGUAUUUAAAAAUACAAUAAUAACUCAAUUUGUAUAUAAAGAUACAAAAUAACUCAAUCUGAGAGAUUCUCUAACCGACAACCAUCGCUAUGAGCUAUGUGAUGAUACAACUUCUCGUCCACGCUACCAGAAUUGUCUUAUACCUUGCCGGAGUAUAAGACAUCCUCAACUUAGGGGAUCCACUAAGCUAUGCUUAAAAAGCAAUAAGGAAUCAUCUAAAAAAUAUGAUAUUUUCUACCCAUGUUGGCUACAUGGUUUAUGAAGACUUUGAGUUGUUUGAACUCAUCCUCAUAUCGGUGCUCAAUACUACUCCCAAAAUAUACUCAACUCAUAUGUUUAAAACCAUUUCCUCAUCCUCAAACUUUGAGAUUAUUACUCAAAAGAUUUCUCUUAAAAGAGAUAGUACUCAAAACUCCACAUAACUCAUUUGGAAAUCAAAGUUUCCUCCUUAUUUUAAAUGUAAAAACAUUUACUCUUGGAAUACUUAGUUCCCAUAUAUUCAUUUUGAAAAAUGAAAUUCAACUCUCCUCAUCCUCAUACUCAAGUCUUAAAACAAGUUUUAAAAGAUUGUAAAAGACUCUUCAACAUGACUCGAAAGAACUCUCAAGACUUUACUCUUAACUCUACCUUGAAUUUAAAUUAUGAAUUCAAGGGUUAUGAUUCAUGUUAUGAAUGAUCUCUCGAUAUUUAGAUGUAGUUUAGAAUGGUUAGAAUCAGAAAGGAGUGAAGGUAUCCUUUAAAAGAACUCAGACAAGCCAACCGACGGAAAAAAUGAGUGGGGGCAGGUGACCCUGGCGUCAACCUUUAAACUAUAGAACAUAUUUUCUGGCGCACUGCUGGGGCGGCGCGCCAGCCCUUACCCAGAACUUUUCGAUGAAUUUUCUUCUUCGAUUUUAGGCCCGAAUUCACCUAGAAUCGAAUGGUUUGUUUCAAACUCUGUUAGAUUCGUUUAACCAACUUAAUUACAUGAAAGUACACUCGAAAACAACCCUCAAACUCCUAACAUUCAUCUCAAAAAUUUAUCAAACCUCAUUAAUCAAAGAACGAAACUCAAACUUACUCAUCAAGAAUUCAAUAUACCCAAACUUGUAGAUGAAAUUCGUGAAAGAAACUCAUGAUUGGUGUGUAGGUGAACGAACCCAUAACUAUGAAAGCUUACAUACCUCGAUUUGACGAAACAAAUUCUCAAUUCGAACGAAAUCUUGAUCGUUCUUCCUUUUCUCCUAUUUUCUCCUCUUGAACUCUCUUCUAAAACCCUAAGCGUAAUUUAGAAUUGUGAAAACUGACCCAAAUCAGUUUAGACCCCUAAAGUAUUACUAAAAACAUUUAAAGCUGAUGGGGGUAAGGAAAAUACCAAAAUACCCCUCAUUAAUUCGGGUAAAUUUCCUUAACUGAACUUGAUGACUUCAAACAGGCAUAUCUCCCUCAUUCGAACUCAAAAUCUAACAAACUCGAUGGCGUUGGAAAGAAGAUUCCAAGACCUUUCAUUUGAUAUCGUAUGGGCCACCUAACUCAUCCUUUACUCAAAGUUAUGGUUGUUUGAAGUUGACCAAAAACUCACAACUUAAGCAUAACUUGAUAAAUUCUCAAAUUAGCUCUUUCCAAAUUAGUUCUGGCUAAACUUAGUUCUUUCUAAGGCGGGAUGCUAUAGAUACAUCCUUUACAUGAUGUAUGGGGACGUGCUCGAUGUAUUGAGUCGUUGAGUGAUGUAUUCGAAAUCGAGACACGAUGAAUCGGGACGUUGAGCGCUGUAUUCGGAACUAUAGGAUGCGAUGUAUCAAAAUAUUUUGGGACAUAUUCGGAUUCCACCAAAUUUAAGAAAUUUUUGUAAUUUGAAAAGGAGUAGAGAUAGGAUGUAAUUAACUCUUAACACUGGUCGUUUGGUGUGAUGGAUAAGGGGAAUUAAUCCCCAGAUAAUUUUUAAGUAGCCUCUAAUCCUUUGUUUGGUUGCAUAGCUUGGGAAUAACUUAUCCCAGGAUUAAUAAUUAGUAUUGGGAUAAGUUAUCCCUCCCUUUGGGUGGUAUAGUAAUUCCGAGAUAACUUAUCCCGGAAUAAAAUACAUAAAUGACAAAUAUAUCCCUUUAAACUCUAUUUAUACCCCACUUUUCACAUUUAUGUAUAACUAUUUUUAAAAGUCUUCAACCACCUUAAUCUUAAAUAAUUCUUUUACAAAAAAAAGUUAUUACUAAAAAUAAAUUAUGUAAUACAAAAUUAUAGUACAAAUCUUAUUAUAAAUUUGAUUUUUCACCAAACAAAAAUAUUAGCACAUGUCCUCCGGAUUCCCCCCACCCCCACCCUCCCUACAUUAUUUUUUGAUACCAUGUAUAAUAAUAUUCACUACUCAUUAUUUUUAUGAUAAUUCUUCAUAUUUUUCUAUUAAGAUAUUACACUAUAUAAAUAUAAUUUUUAUUUAUAAAUUUAUUUGACUAAUUCUUAUGUUUAUUUAUAUUUUGAUUUCUCAUAAAUCCUCUUUUACUUUAACAAACGCAAGAUGGAAAUUCUAUUUUAAGCUAAAUAAGAAAAUAGUUUUAUUUUUAAAUACAUACGGCACCAUUGUGGGAGUGCACACACAAAAUUAUUUAAGCUAAAUAAGAGGAAAUUAUUUUAAAAAAUGAAUAAUUAAAGCUCGCAAAGAAUAUAAAAAAAAAAAAACUAAAUAAAGUGAAGAGUAAUUUUGUAAACAAACAACUUGUUCUUAAAAUUUAUGCAAUGCAUAUUAUUUUGAAUACAACAAACCAACACUCAAUAAUAAAUAAUCACAACAUAACUUAUCCCAUCAUAACUUGUUUUCAAACCAAAUGACCCCUGAGAGUUGUGUAAAAUUCUCUUACUAAUAUCUAUGAAUUACAACUUUUAUGGGACCAUUCCAAAUUCUAAGUCUCAAAAACUUGAAAUAAUAUGUUAAAAGAUAAAAAUAUGAAACAAUAUAAGAAAUAUUUAGAAAUUAUAUCAAAGUAAAUACUUUUAUAUAUAAAAUAAAUUUUAAAAAUUAUAUAUAUAAUUUCGGAUUAGUUUGGUUUCAACUGACUUUCUUUAUAGUUAAAAUCAAACCAAUCCAAGUAUAGUCUGAAUUUUUUUUCUAUACCAAAUCAAGUCAAACCAAACCAUUAGUCAAUUUUUGUUUUUGUCAAUUUAACUAAAUUUGCAGUUUAAUUCAAUUUUCGAUUCUAUUUUGUACAUCCUAAUACUACUAGACAUCUUUCAUGCUUUGGACGAUGUUAACUUUGAUCGAGCGAAUAAAGAAGAUCACUCGGCCUCGUUAAAAAGACUGAAUUUGUUGGUUAUUUGCUAAAGAAAUUGUCAUUUGUUUAGUUCGUAUUUAUGUAAGUCUUUAUAUUUGUUGGUUUUUUUCAUUUUUGGGCUGAUGGUAAAGAUCAAUUACGAUCGCCAACCAAAAUAUACAAAAACUUAUACAGUAGUCAUGUCAUAUAUAUUAUGGGAUUUUUUUUUUCUAGUUAGAACGGUUUGGUACAUAUAUUCAUAUUUAUGAUAUGCAUGUUUAUAUUUGAUAUAUAAAAUAUAUACAUUUGCCAGCUAUUAUUUUUCGAGGAGAGAGGCAAAUCCUUUUAUUUGUCCUAAGAAGACUAGUUAUUUAUAAUAUAUACAAAACAUAUCUAUUUAUGUUAUUUUAAAAGCAUAAAGGUCCUUGCAAAUGCAGAUUGAACUUUUUUGUCUUUCAUUAAAAAAAAUUAUAAUAAAAAAAAUUGUUAUUUACUAUUUUCUCAAAUAAUUGUCAUUUAAUUAUUAUCCUAACAUUUAGAAGCUUGAAAUCAAAUCUUUACUUCUUCUUUUUUAUAAUAGGUAAGAAUUCUUAAUAUUUAAUACUUUAAAAUUAACUAAAAUUUUAUUUCUUAAAUUUUUAAUUAUUUGAACCAUAUAAAAUGUCCUAACAUUUAAGAUUUUAAAAUUAAUAUUUUCACCUUAUAUAAUUCUUACUUAUAUUAUGGAAAUUAAAAUAAAUAAAUAAAUUAAAAUAUGAAAAAAAGAGGUUCACAUUAUAAGAAAUAAUUUUCAACCUUUUUAUAUGAAUAUUUAUGGUUUAGAUUGAUAUAACAUUGUUUUGACAUCUAUAGCUACUUUUGAAUAACCUUGUUCUUUUUCUAUAUAGUUCUAUUGAUUGAAUAAAACACGUACACUAAAUGAGUACGCCUAUCAUGACUUGUUUCCUUGCAUAUUACACAUUGCUGAUUGUAUUUAGCUUCUCCAACAUCGAUCUGGUUGUGGUUUCGACGAGUUCGACACAAAUAACUUAUAUUAGCAAUUCUAGCAAAUGGUUUUAAAGAGCGAGAUGGUGGUUUUUGUUGUUCCCGCGAAGCGAAGAUCAUUCGCUUGGCGAAUAAAGUGGGUCACCCUCUUUUUGGCUUCGUCUUCGAUCUCUCUUCGCAACGCAUUUUAAGGGCUAAGACUUUCUCUCGACAUCUUUCUUUUAUUUAAGUCAUUGAUCUCAUAUCUAUAAGCAUUUUUUAUUGUUUCUUCAACAACUACUUGUAAAUGACGUGACAUAAAAAGGAAGUUAGGAAGUACUAUUUUAUUUAUUUAUAACCAAGAAAUCCAUCUGUGAUCCGCCCUUUGGACCUAUCACAGCCUUCUAAACUCGAUGGAUAAUGAGCCCGCCCCUAUACCCCUUCUCCACUUAAAUACCAGGCUUCGCUUUGCAUGGUGUGAGACUUGAACCUGCGACCUAAGCCACAAAUCCUCCACCUUUUGCCACUCGAGCUAGGCCUUGGGAGCAGGAAGCUAAUAUUAUUUAUAUUGAGAUCGAGAAAUUUCUACUCUAAGAUUCUCUGAGAUGGAGAAAACCUGUGCUUGAUAGAAUGUGAUUUGAAUUAUGACAGGACUGCACAUUCUGAAAAUGAUUUUUGAACAUAAAGGAAGAGGAAAGAAGUAGACAUUCAAGCUAGAUUAUACUUUGUUUCACUCAAAUUUUCAUGUAUGUUUAUUUUUACGUUGCAAUAGCAUCUAUUACCUUAUAUUUCUUUCUUUCUUUAAUACAAAAUACAAGUUCCACAUAUUUAUUGAUUGCAGUACCUCCUUGUGACGAAAAGUCAUAGGAUGGUGUAUAAUCUUGAAAGUCACGCAGCAGGAAAUUCUUCUGCACCUCGAGUCAUUCUGAGUCGAUCACUACAAUUAAAGCUUGGACUUGACGAUUUUCCCAUCAUCGAAUGUUAUCAUCACCUUGCCAAUUGCUCUCCUAUCUUUGAGAGCAGUAAAAGCAAGAUGGGCCUGCAAAAAGGCAACAAUAAUGUGCGUUGUUUCAAUCCUAUAACAAUCAACAAAAGCUAAAUCUCUACAAUAUUUGAAAGCUUAAAAACGCACCAGUGACAUAAAUAUGUAACAUAGCUUCUGAAAAAAACCUACACUUACCAUGAAUCCUUUCAGAUGAUAUCAUAAUGCAGUUUCCUAAUUUUACACUUAUUUUGUAUGAUGACUUCUAAGUCGCUUAAUCAUCCCAACAAGUGGUUGCUUUGUUGGAGGUGUUAUAUGAUUACAGUUAGUUUAAAGAUAUUCCUUACUUUGACGACGUAGGGAAAGAACACCAUUGUUUCCAGCUCAAUUUGCUAAGGCAUGGUGAAACCACUAUGCUAGGUUUUCCAAGAGCAUAAACAAUGAACUAGCUCCCUAACGCCUUGAAAAAGUCAUAGCUGGUUGAUCUAUAUUUUAUGAGGCAGUAAACUACCACUUUGACAUCAUUUAAGUGAGCUACACCUAAUGAUCUCAAAGUGAACACUUAACUUUGGGAUUCAAUGGUUUAUGCCAGCUAAUGUUGAGCAAG